rnacentral:lncRNA from 1 species
CGGGCUGAGUCGGGUCCUGUGGACGAGGCCUGGCCCGCAGAGGCCGCUGUGUCUCUGCACACAACGGCUGUCCAGGCCAGAGCAGCCAUAGUGUAGCCUGGAGCCCCCCCACCGCUCCCAGGGAGGGGAGGGGCCGCCUGAGAUCCCUCAGGAAAGACUGGAUUCCAGGAGGCCUGACCCUCCGAGGGGAACUCGUGUGCUGCCCACCUGCUUCCUGCCGGGGACUGUCGGCCACUGAGCCUUCCAGGACCGGAGCUGCAGGGGCGACGCAGCCAGAGGCUGAGAAGCAGAUUCUCCCUUCUGAGGGUCGGUUAAAGCUCAAAACCAGAGGCCUCCGUGGACCCCCACCUGUUUUUCCAAGCCCACCGUCCCUCCACCUCAUCUUCCGCCGUCCCAUUGCCCGCCAGCUCGUCAUUCAGCAUGGAUUUCCUGAGCCACCCCCAGGCACCAGCACCAUGGCUCAGGCGAUGUGCAGACAACAAAGAAAGAAUCACACACUCACUCCCUGUCAAGUCCUCCCGGGCGCCUGGACUCAGCCGUGGGCCCCAGCCCUCACUCCCCAGGCCAGCUGGGGGCAGACCCAGGUCCUGGGGAUCCCAUGAAGCUCAGAGGUCCCCGACUUCACACCAGCAGGUCACCCAGGAAACCAAAGGAUCAGGAAUACGGAGACCUGCACGGAGUAAAGCUCACAGUCCGGAGCCUGAAUCCGCCGGCGGCGCAACAGGGGCCAGUUCAGAGCAGGCUGGUCUCGUCUCCUCCGGCCACCGCCCUCCCUCCCGGUCACUUGCAGGCAAUCCCCUGACUCCGCGUCAUCUGCCCCGGAGCCUCAGUACACAGGGCAUGUGGGGCCUCGGUGACCCUGAGGUCCAGUGCGUGCCCAGGAGGAAGGGCAAGCACUCAACUCUGUCCCUUUCUGAUUUAUUUUAUUCCUUUUCAGAAUAAUGAGCCCUAGCCUCCGACCAAGGCCCAGUGAGAAUUCUGUAGUAUUCUUUUAAAUAAAAUGGAUUUUAAAGAUAUUUGGUACA